UAUAGUUUUUUCACCUGUAUUGUGGAGGUGAACUCAGUGGACAUGAGUUUGAGCAAGCUCCGGGAGUUGGUAAUGAACAGGGAAGCCUGGUGUGCUGCAGCCUAUGGAGUUACAAAGAGUCGGACACAACUGAGUGACUGAACUGAACUGGUGGUGGAAGGUGAAAGGAAGAGGGAGUUGGGAACAGAUGUAGAAUUAGCCAGCCCAGAGUUCCCCUUUAAUGCCGUUUUGUAAGUAGAGUUGGGCUUCCCUGGUAGCUCAGUGGUAAAGAACUCACCUGCCAAUGCAGGAGAUGCAGUUUCAGUCCCUGGAUUGGGAAUAUCCCCUGGAGAUGAAAAUGGCAACCCACUCCCGUAUUCUUGCCUGGGAAUUUCAUGGACAGGGGAACCUGGUGAGCUACAGUCUAUAAGGUUGCAAAAGAGUUGGACAUGACGGAGCAAUUAAACAACAACGGUCAUCUUCAGUCCACAGACUUAGAACUGUGCAUCUCUCCCGAAUGUAUAUCUCAAUCUUGGCCACUCCCUGGAGUCUAACUCACGGACCAAACUGCCAUCGAACAUCUCCAUUUAAGUGUCACUUCCCCCGUUCCAGGAGAUCAAUGGGGAUCUUCUGCAUCAUUUAUGUGAGAAGAUGGUAGGUUGGAGCUUGGAACAAUGUUUGGAAGGACAUUGCCUCCCCUUGGAAGCUAAAGCCCUGGCCAAUCUGAAGAAAGUAAAAACCAUUCCCAGUUUUGCUUUGCUAUUAGGAGAGAGAAAAAACCUUGAAGAUGGCCUUUGAGACUCCAGGAAUCUCUGCUGACCUCCACACUUCCAUCCCACCUUCUUCACUCUCUGUUCAGCUUCCCCCUCUCCUUCUCUCCCCUCAUGUUCUUUGUUUGGCUGCACUGGCCUUGAUUCAGUUCCUUACACCAACCAGAAGCCUUUGUUUGUAUUAUUUCUUCUGCCCAGAAGGCUCUUCCCCUUCACUUCUCUCUUUGACCUAAUUAACCAACCUCUAUCUUACAAACUGAUGCUCAUAUAAGACCUUCUAGCGCGAGCUUUCUCAUACCCUCUACACCAAAUGUCCUGUUAAUCUCACAAAAUGCCCUGUGCCUCUCUGUCAUAGGAGAGAAUCUCAGUCUGUACUUAUUUAUUUAUUUAUUUGACUGUUUUAAUGUCGUUCUCUCCUAACCAAGAGGAAAGAAAGCGCGUCUCUGCUCACCAUUAUAUCUCCUGCACUAUUACAGUGCCUGUCAGAGUUAACAAGUAUCUCUUGGAUUUAUGUGUGGUUGAAUGAAUGAGUUGGUGAGUGAAUAAUAAGAAAUCCACUGAAAAGUUUGGUCAAAUUUGAUACCUACUUUCUCAUUAUUAUCAAAUUGAAAAAUACUAGUUACUUGUUUUAUUUAAGAGCUUCCUAUGUCUUUCUUCAGCCAGUUAGCUUAUUUUUAGAACUACUGUUCAUGAGUUGGAAAACCAAUUCUAUAGCUACCUUUAUCUUUUAUUACUCUGAGCCUUGCUUGUUUUAAAAAUGAAGAGAGGAAAGAAAACACUCCAAUUUUGUGGUUCAGUUCACAUUUCAAUUUUUCUCUUCUUUCUUUUAUUCUGAACAUUGUAAAUGGUUUGAAAAACCAAGCUUUUGCAUUUAUAUUGAUCUUUUCAUCUACAGAUUUAUAAGAGCUUUAAAAACAUGUAUUAAUACUUACAAUAGCAUUUCAAACUAGAAAAUACAGCCACAUUAAAUCUCCGUUAAGAUAUAGAUGCUGUUAACAGGUUCACAAUAUGGCAGCAACAAUUUCAAAUACAAAUUAGGGGUUUUGAUUAAACCCUCUAAACUGACUAAUGGUGAGUUCCUCCUAGAGGCACCUGUCAUUUUAAAUCCAACAAUUACGACAUCUCUUCAAAGAAUAUAUGGAUUUAGAAAGCUCUAGCUUGAAAACUCAAGGAUUUAAAACAUUUGCAAAUAAAAAAAGGCAGGAUAACAUUUACUCUUCUAUUUCUAACUUCUCUAGAAAUGUUAUUGGAUUUUUAGCCUGACAUUUUCCCCUAAUAUAUACAAAUAAAGCUAUAAAUUUUCCUUCAAGCACAAGUUUUUGCUGUACUCUGUGAAUUUUGAUAUACCAUAUUUCAGUUAUUUUUUCACUUCCAAACAUUUUCUAAUUUUCAUUGGAAUUUCUUUUUUUGACCCAUGUGUUCUUUACAAAUGUAUUACUUAGUUUCCAAACAUUUAACCAUCUUCUAGUUAAUUUUUAAUGUUGUUAUAGAUUUCAGUCUUAAUUCCACUGUAAUAAAAGAACAUUGUAUGAUUUCAAUCUUUUGCAGUUUAAGACUAGCUGCUUGGUUUAUAUGUACAAUUUUUUAAAAUGUUCUGUGGGCAUUAAAAUGAAUGUUCUUAAAUGUUAU
ensembl:lncRNA